CCAACAGUGAUGUUAGAAAAAGGGGAAAUUACCUAGCAGUGAUGUUAGAAAAAGGGGAAAUUACCAACAGUGAUGUUAGAAAAAGGGGAAAUUACCUAGCACUAGAAGGAAAAACUAAUGAUGUUAGAAAAAAAAUAUCUAAAGUAUUUAAUUAAAGAAUUAAGUACUUGGUUUCUACAUUUUUUUUUGUUAGUUCAGGCUGUCAAAGAGAGCAACAGUACACUCACCAGAGCCAUGGCUUCACAGGUCCAAUCACUCACUUUCUCAAUUCAAAGAAUCUAAAUAAAAAAUAAAAAUCAAAAGCAAUCACAGAAACUAAACCACUAUAAAUCAAAAAAAUAUAACUCGAGUUACACAUUUCAUGGGAGUAACUUUGAAAUAAAUAUAUAUUGGAAAGAAAAUCGAUAAGAACAAAGACAAUGAUCGUCUUCGUGCUAUGUAGAAAUUACUCGUGUGUAUAAAGUAAGCAUGAUUUGCAGUAUGUAAGAAGCAGUACUUACUGGGCACAUUCAGC
rnacentral:lncRNA from 1 species